ACUAUAUAAAAUUAGUUUCUUGGAUGAAAAACCUCUUUCAAGAUGUCUUAACCAUACUCGGGGCAGGAACUAUUUUUCCUGUGCUUCUUAGAUACAAGUAAACAUUAUGCGUAUUAUGAAAAGAAGGAAACUGCUUUACUUUCUCUUACUACUACACUGCUUAAAUGCCAAAGUAGAUGAUACUUAAACAAUUAAUAGAAACAACAAAUAUCUGUUUUCUUACAGUUUUAAGUUUCCCUCCUACGCCCACAUCAGAUAUCUUGCGAUUUUCUAUUGCCAUUUUAUUGU